UAGCGGAGGGGCUAGCGUUGCUCGGAAUCACUGGGCGUAAAGGGUGCGUAGGCGGGUCUUUAAGUCAGGGUGAAUCCUGGAGCUCAACUCCAGAACUGCCUUGAUACUGAGGAUCUUGAGUUCGGGAGAGGUGAGUGGAACUGCGAGUGUAGAGGUGAAAUUCGUAGAUAUUCGCAAGAACACCAGUGGCGAAGGCGGCUCACUGGCCCGGUACUGACGCUGAGGUGCGAAAGCGUGGGAGCAACAGGG
rnacentral:rRNA from 1 species